rnacentral:misc_RNA from 1 species
GAUGAAGAACGUAGCGAAAUGCGAUAAGUAAUGUGAAUUGCAGAAUUCAGUGAAUCAUCGAAUCUUUGAACGCACAUUGCGCCCGCCAGUAUUCUGGCGGGCAUGUCUGUCUGAGCGUCAUUUCAACCCUCAUGCCCCUAGGGCGUGGUGUUGGGGAUCGGCCAAAGCCCGCGAGGGACGGCCGGCCCCUAAAUCUAGUGGCGGACCCGUCGUGGCCUCCUCUGCGAAGUAGUGAUAUUCCGCAUCGGAGAGCGAUGCGCCCCUGCCGUUAAACCCCCAACUUUCCAAGGUUGACCUCAGAUCAGGUAGGAAUACCCGCUGAACUUAAGCAUAUCAAUAAGCGGAGGA